GACGAACGCUGGCGGCGUGCCUAAUACAUGCAAGUCGAACGCAGUUGCGAACGGGUGAGUAACGCGUAGGUAACUGCCUCAUAGCGGGGGAUAACUAUUGGAAACGCUAGCUAAUACCGCAUACUUUGAGAUGGACCUGCGUUGUAUUAGGUAGUUGGGGAGGUAAAGGCUCACCAAGGCGACGCUACAUAGCCGACCUGAGAGGGUGAACGGCCAAAAUGGGACGGAGACAAGGGCCAGAAUUCUAAGGGAGGCAGGAGGAGGGAAUCUUGGGCAAUGGACGGAAGGCUGACCGAGGAACUGCGCGUGAGUGAAGAAGGGUCUCGGGUGGUAAAGCUCUUUUGAUAGGGAAGCGGUAACGAACCAGAAAGCGACGGCUAACUACGUGCCAGCAGCCGCGGUAAUAC
rnacentral:rRNA from 1 species